UGGGGAAUUUUGGACAAUGGGCGCAAGCCUGAUCCAGCCAUGCCGCGUGUCUGAAGAAGGCCUUCGGGUUGUAAAGGACUUUUGUCAGGGAAGAAAAGGGCGGGGUUAAUACCCCUGUCUGAUGACGGUACCUGAAGAAUAAGCACCGGCUAACUACGUGCCAGCAGCCGCGGUAAUAAGUAGGGCGCGAGCGUUAAUCGGAAUUACUGGGCGUAAAGCGGGCGCAGACGGUUACUUAAGCAGGAUGUGAAAUCCCCGGGCUCAACCUGGGAACUGCGUUCUGAACUGGGUGACUAGAGUGUGUCAGAGGGAGGUAGAAUUCCACGUGUAGCAGUGAAAUGCGUAGAGAUGUGGAGGAAUACCGAUGGCGAAGGCAGCCUCCUGGGAUAACACUGACGUUCAUGCCCGAAAGCGUGGGUAGCAAACA
rnacentral:rRNA from 1 species